rnacentral:rRNA from 1 species
GCAGCACAGAGAAGCUUGCUUCUUGGGUGGCGAGUGGCGAACGGGUGAGUAACAUAUCGGAACGUACCGAGUAAUGGGGGAUAACUAAUCGAAAGAUUAGCUAAUACCGCAUAUUCUCUGAGGAGGAAAGCAGGGGACCUUCGGGCCUUGCGUUAUUCGAGCGGCCGAUAUCUGAUUAGCUAGUUGGUGGGGUAAAGGCCUACCAAGGCGACGAUCAGUAGCGGGUCUGAGAGGAUGAUCCGCCACACUGGGACUGAGACACGGCCCAGACUCCUACGGGAGGCAGCAGUGGGGAAUUUUGGACAAUGGGCGCAAGCCUGAUCCAGCCAUGCCGCGUGUCUGAAGAAGGCCUUCGGGUUGUAAAGGACUUUUGUCAGGGAAGAAAAGGCUGUUGCUAAUACCGACAGCUGAUGACGGUACCUGAAGAAUAAGCACCGGCUAACUACGUGC